UGACUNGAGUGCAGAAGGGGAGAGUGGAAUUCCAUGUGUAGCGGUGAAAUGCGUAGAUAUAUGGAGGAACACCAGUGGCGAAAGCGGCUCUNUGGUCUGUCACUGACGCUGAGGCUCGAAAGCGUGGGUAGCGAACAGGAUUAGAUACCCUGGUAGUNCACGCCGUAAACGAUGAGUGCUAGGUGUUAGGCCCUUUCCGGGGCUUAGUGCCGGAGCUAACGCAAUAAGCACUCCGCCUGGGGAGUACGACCGCAAGGUUGAAACUCAAAGGAAUUGACGGGGGCCCGCACAAGCGGUGGAGCAUGUGGUUUAAUUCGAAGCAACGCGAAGAACCUUACCAGGUCUUGACAUCCCGAUGCUAUUCUUAGAGAUAGGAAGUUACUUCGGUACAUCGGAGACAGGUGGUGCAUGGUUGUCGUCAGCCCGUGUCGUGAGAUGUUGGGCUANNNNNNGCAACGAGCGCAACCCUUAUUGUUAGUUGCCAUCAUUAAGUUGGGCACUCUAGCGAGACUGCCGGUAAUAAACCGGAGGAAGGUGGGGACGACGUCAAAUCAUCAUGCCCCUUAUGACCUGGGCUACACACGUGCUACAAUGGUCGGUACAACGAGUUGCGAGCCGGUGACGGCAAGCUAAUCUCUGAAAGCCGAUCUCAGUUCGGAUUGGAGGCUGCAACUCGCCUCCAUGAAGUCGGAAUCGCUAGUAAUCGCGGAUCAGCACGCCGCGGUGAAUACGUUCCCGGGCCUNG
rnacentral:rRNA from 1 species